rnacentral:tRNA from 1 species
GGGGAUAUAACUCAGUGGUAGAGCACUUGCCUAGCAUGCAGGAAGCCCUGGGUUCAAUCCCCAGCACUA